GACGCUGUAGACCAAUUGGUUGAGUCGGCUCCAUGGAAUGGAGAAGUGCGGGUUCGAAUCCCAACGGCGCCU